rnacentral:rRNA from 1 species
GACGUAGGGCGCGAGCGUUGUCCGGAUUUAUUGGGCGUAAAGAGCUCGUAGGCGGCUUGUUGCGUCGGCUGUGAAAACUCGGGCUCAACUCCGAGCCUUGCAGUCGAUACGGCAGGCUAGAGUUCGGCAGGGGAGACUGGAAUUCCUGGUGAGCGGUGAAAUGCGCAGAGUAUCAGGAGGAACACCAAUGGCGAAGGCAGCUCGCUGGGACGGUACUGACGCUGAGACGCGAAAGCGUGGGGAGCAAACAGG